AGUGGUAGUAGAAUGAAAAGCAGGGAACAGAAGCCACGUGGUUUCCAAGCUACAAGAACAUGAAGAAUAGCUCAUUCAUCGCCAGUUACAAAAGGCAAUUAAUUCAACUUUCGGAUAUCUAGCCAGAAUGUUAUGCAGAUGGAUAGGAAUCACAAAUUCAUGAUUCAAACACAGGCCCAUCAGGCUUGGAAGUGCAGGCACAAGAGUCAGCCAGCAUGUCCUAUUAUUCACCCUUCCCUGGUUCUUGCCAGAGAGGUGAGAACUGGAGUUUGGGGCCAAGAAUUUCAAGUGAGAUAAGUGACUGACCCAUAAGUGAUACAAAGGACCUGCCCCUGGCCUCGAGGUGGAGACAACUCUGGUGGAAUCUGCUUGCAGAGCUUCCUGUGGGAUUGGACUCUUGCUAGCCUCCAGCUGACCCCACAUCCUUGCUUAGAUUUUUCUCCAUGCUCCAUCCUACUUCUCACACUUCUCUUCUCCAGAGAGCACUCCCUGUCAAUAAAUCACUUGAACAAAAAUUCGUAUCUCAGGUUCAGCUUCUAGGGAACCUGAAGUUAGAUACCCAGUGGCCUCAAAAAUGAUUUUCUAUAG